rnacentral:rRNA from 1 species
UACGUAGGGGGCAAGCGUUGUCCGGAUUUAUUGGGCGUAAAGAGCGUGUAGGCGGCCAAGCAGGUCAGCUGUGAAAACUCGAGGCUCAACCUCGAGACGUCGGUUGAAACCGCUUGGCUAGAGUCCGGAAGAGGAGAGUGGAAUUCCCGGUGUAGCGGUGAAAUGCGCAGAUAUCGGGAAGAACACCCGUGGCGAGGCGGCUCUCUGGGACGGUACUGACGCUGAGACGCGAAAGCGUGGGGAGCGAACGAG